UUUUAUAGAAUGUUUAAGAUGAUUAUGUUGUAACCCGUCUCGAGGAGAGGCAGGUAAGAAAUAAAGGUAUUAUUAUUAUUAUUAUUCAUUAAUACCUUUAUUUCUUACCUGCCUCUCCUCAAGGCAGGUUACAACAUAAUCAUCUUAAACAUUCUAUAAA
rnacentral:snoRNA from 11 species